rnacentral:tRNA from 1 species
UUUUAAUAGCUUAUAAAGAGUAUAAUACUGAAGAUAUUAAGGAAAAAUUUUUUUUAAAAUAU